UCUAUAUCCAAGCUCAUCUGGGUUCUGAAGAAGUUUCUCUCUGAAGCUGGAGAACUGAGGGGUCUUUCUAGCUUUGGGUGACAGGCUACCAUCAGGUCCCAGAGCCUGGGUCUUCCUAGCUUUGGGUGACAGGCUACCAUCAGGUCCCAGAGCCUGGGUCUUCCUAGCUUUGGGUGACAGGCUACCAUCAGGUCCCAGAGCCUGGGUCUUCCUAGCUUUGGGUGACAGGCUACCAUCAGGUCCCAGAGCCUGGGUCUUCCUAGCUUUGGGUGACAGGCUACCAUCAGGUGCCACAGCCCAUCAGCAUCUAGACCACUCCUUCUUGCCCUGUGAGAUUGUCCACCACAG